AUAUUUUGCGUCUCUCGGUAGUCUGCUUAAAUAGAAUAAUUCAUAAAAAGCGGGUUAUGCCGACAAGCCGUGAUUCUCGAUAAACCGAACUUGAAAUUCCUUCGAUGGCCACUCGAGUUGCUUGCAAAUAUUUUGUCGACGAGAGUUUCCGAAGAUAGAUGGGCUAUUUAUAGGGGAGACCGCGUGAUCAAAUUUUAUAACGACGAACGACGAUGUUUGAUUAGGCGAAAAGAAAAUGAAUCUGGGAAAAUUGCCGUGUAAUCUAAGAGUAAUUUAACUAAAAUUGUUUCUAGAUAAUUCCUUAGAAGUUUGGAUCGACGAAUAUAUGAAACGAACUAAAAAAAUCGUUUUCUUGAAAAAGUCUUCGAUUCUGUGGGAUUGUGAUAACGCAUAGUCUAGUAUUUUAUAGCAUAUCACAUAUAUGCAACGUAUGAACGUGGCCUGAUAAAUGCUUCGUAUACGCGCCAAGUUGUGCCCACUCGCGCAUACAUAUCACGAAUAUCACUCGACGUAUAUUCACGCUCCACACGUUUACUUUUAUGCAUUGUACGCGUUCUCGUUUCUCUUAUUUUACCUUUAUCUCUUUUUCCUUCAGGUUUUUCUCCACGUUUUCCAGUCAACACUGGUAACGUGCAAGAGUCGAGACGUUUUCCUAGACAGUAGAUCUUACAUUCGUUACAUAAACAAGAAUAAUAACUGAAAGUAGUAACAGUUUCUCAAAUCUUUAUUAAAACAAGGGGGCGUAAUAAUAAUAAGGUAGAAAUCUUAUCGUUCGUUAGGGAAUAUUCUCAUUGUCAGCCAAUACAUUCGUUUUCGAAUCUUAAGGCGAAUUAGCGAGUAUCACGCCAACGGCGUUUUGUCCA
rnacentral:lncRNA from 1 species